CCCAGCAACCACAUGGUGGCUCACAACCAUCCGUAAUGAAAUCUGAUGCCCUCUUCUGGAGUGUCUGAAGACAGCUACAGUGUACUUACAUAUAAUAAAUAAAAGUUUUAUGUCAACUUGACACAAGCUUAGAAGACGAAGAGCUUAUUUUGGCUUAUUUGAGAGAAGGGAACCUCAAUUGAGAAAAUGAGUCUGGGUAAGCUGAGUAAAAAUUUAAUGUGCAAAUGAAACGUAAAUGAAAAAAAAAAAUAACAACAGAAAACCGGUUCCCAUGUCAUCCUUACUGAUGAAUAGAUUUGAUAUUAUCUGAGAAUUAAAAAAAAAAACAAAAAACAAAAAAAACCCAAAACAUACCAAUCAGGCUUUCAUACAAAUAAAGGGCACACACACAGAUACUAUUGUGUGGACCCUCCCCUUUUAAAAACAAACAAACAAACAAACAAACAAACUAGAGGCUUGCUGGGCCUGUCUCAGACAUUAAUGUGUUAUUGCAUUUUUCUGUGGUAGUGUUUAAAAUUCUUACUUUUUUUUCUGCAUAAAGAGCAUGCAUUUAUCUUAGAUACUAAAGAGUUUUUUAGAAAAGGUGUAGUUGUAGAGAAUAGUAUGGUCAUAAUUUUAAAGUUUUUUUUAAAAUCAGAAAUAGAUAUAGAAAUAGAAAUGUC
rnacentral:lncRNA from 1 species